rnacentral:rRNA from 1 species
UACGAAGGGGGCUAGCGUUGCUCGGAAUCACUGGGCGUAAAGGGUGCGUAGGCUGGUUUUUAAGUCAGAGGUGAAAUCCUGGAGCUCAACUCCAGAACUGCCUUUGAUACUGAGAAUCUUGAGUAUGGGAGAGGUGAGUGGAACUGCGAGUGUAGAGGUGAAAUUCGUAGAUAUUCGCAAGAACACCAGUGGCGAAGGCGGCUCACUGGCCCAUAACUGACGCUGAGGCACGAAAGCGUGGGGAGCAAACAGG